rnacentral:lncRNA from 1 species
GUUCUGCACCCUCUAUACACACACCAGCCUGGAGCUGAUGGGUUUCUGGAGACUCUUUGUCCAAAGCAGGAAUCUCAUAGAGAUUCAUCAAUCAAUGCUGGUUUUGAGGUCCUGAUCAUCUGAAUGAAUUUAGCAAACUACAAGACAUGAAAUUACUAUGGUACAUCCAAGGGUGCCUAGAAUAAAGAGUGUCACACUCCUCCUAGGAGGAAAGAA